UUAGUUAAUUCUCUUAGCCAGUGGCAAAGGGGACCUUUAUGUUAUAAGGAUCAGUGAGAGUUUGAGGGGGUAUCCUUUCCUAGCUGCCCUCUGGAUUGUAACCAGAGCUUAGAGCCACCACUGCUCAUCCAUCUCCACCCUGUUGCCCUGAUCUUCAGCACUAGCUUCUGAUGAACAGUUUCCUUGACAACCAGAGUAACACCUCCAGUCUGCCACCUCUGAGAUGAAAAGGGUAACGAAAAGCAUAAGCUUUUAGUGUCCCUGCAGGGUUCCAAUACCUCUCCUGCCCAGCCGGUGUUCCAACCUGGGAGUUGCCAGAACUAAAGAUGGCAAUGACAGUGUUCCAAGAUGGAGGUGACUACUUUCAGUUAUCCAUUUCUCAUCAGCCAGAACUUCAGUGAGAGCAGCCUCGGACAACUUCUCCAAAGCAAAGAAAUCAACUCCAUGAUGUUGAAGAGGGAAGAGAAAAGGGCAGUGGACUGAGACUUAGGAAAGCUCACUCCGGUCUCUAAUUUCCCAUAUCUGGCUGCUGGACUGGACCAGACUGACAGCUCUCUUUCUGACUCACCGCAUUUUGCCCAUCAGCAGAUCUUGUGAUCUCUACAUGAAUCUAAUCACUUCUCAUUUCUGCCUCUGCUGCUCCUUUGGUCUGAGCAACCACUAUUCUUCCUGGGAUUAUCCUAACAAUGUUUAAAUGCCUCUCCUUGCUUCUCUUUUUACCUACUCCCAAUUCCUGACCCAGGAACAAGAAUGUCCUUUUAAAACAAAAGUCAAAUCAUGUUACUUCUCUGCAUAAAACACUCCAAUGACUUCCUGUCUCACUCACUGGAAAGAACAGCCUUCUUUUCAAUGGUCUCUAAAGCCUUAUGUAAGGUGGACUUCCAUUUAUUUAUGAUCUCAUCUCUUAACUCUCUCAUCUUCAGUUUUUCCAUCCACGUACUGAAAUAUGAAGUACAUCUCUGCCUCAGGGCCUUUGAACUGCUAUUCUCCCUGCAUGAAAUGCUCUUUCUCCAGAAAAUCAUGUUGGUUCUCUUAUCUCUUUCAGUCACUUAACUAAAGAGGCUGUCAUUGGAUCAUUUCAUAUAAAAUAGCAACCUCCUCUCCAUUCUACCUCCAGCACCACCUCCUGCACCAUGCAUUUACCCUGCUUUACAUCUGUCUAUAGCACUUAUCACCAUCUAAUGCCCCACAUUUGUUGAGCUGCCUAUUUUUUUGUCUCUUGUACAUGAAAAUAUAAGCAUCUUGAGGAACAGAAAAUUUACUAUGUCCACUGUUAUAUCUCCAAUGCCUAAAAUUGUAUCUGGAACAUGAUAGUUACUUAACAAUCAUGAGUUGAAUAAAUGAAUUUCAAAUGA